CUUAUAACAAUAUUUGAGAAAGAAUUUCUGCGUGUGACCAGAAAUCGACCAGUAGAGCGAUAUACUGCUGUUGCCUUUAUUCAUAUGACAAAUAUAUAUAAUAUCCUAAGUAGUAGUUAGAUUCCUGUUCUUUAUAAAUAAAGAUGUGAAUAGCCUCCGCCAAUGUGUCAGUAAUAUGUACAUGUCAGGUAUAUGGAUUUGAUAAUGAGAUAGUGGUCACAAUUAUUAGUGAUGUUAUGUAAACAACAACACAUAGCAUAAAUUAGUCUAAAAAGACCAAUAUUGUAUCUUAUUUAGAUUGUUUUAAGCUAAACUGUAAAAUCUUCAUUUUGCUAAAUUAUUCGACUGCAAUUUUUCUUUUUGCUGCUUCUUCACGUUUC
rnacentral:lncRNA from 1 species